rnacentral:misc_RNA from 1 species
UAAUUUCACAAUUGAUAUAUAUUGUCUGAACCAACAGUCUUUUACAAGAAGGCACAAUGUAUGUCUUUUUUUUUAAACUUUAACUAUUUUUAGCUGAUAAAAUUACUCCUCUUUCAAUGAGCUUCAUCUUUAUGGGAAUGUCUUAGCUUUUGCUGCUAAUUUCAUUUUAUGUCAGUAAUGUUGGAGGGAUUACUUUGUCCUGUAGUUCCUUCUUAUUAAUGGCAUAAUAAACCCACUGGUUGCACAUAAAGCCUAAAAGUAAGAGAAAGUGUAGAAACUUGUAAUUGUGUGUACUUAAAGAGUUCAUGAUGCCUGAAUGACUGUGAAAGGCUAGGUAUUCUGUCCAAUUUAUAGCUGUCGACUACAAUCAUUCUUUUUCAUUCAUUUUGUUAAAUUAAACAUAUAGAGGUAUGUUGUCAAUGAAAAACCAUGUUGAAAUAAACAGACCCGAAUUUUUUAUUGAAAAUUUUUAUCUUUUUUUUUUUUGCAUGUAUGGGUUUAUCUAGUACAUGUAAUUGAAUCUUUUUAGUGAUGAAAGAACUACUGCAACAUAUUGACAAGCAAAAUAAAAAUGAUUGAAAAAGG